UUACCUCACAUGCAACCUUAGGAAAACCAGCUCUGUGGAGGAAAAACAAUUGAAUGUAGCAAUCUCCUUUCUGUGAUCAGGGAGGAUACAAUUCCCACUGUGGAGAUGGCAGCUGAAAAUGUUACUCUUUAUAUGGCAUCGCCUCAUUACUGUGGGUGAUAGAAAAUUUAGUUUGGUGCCAAUAAAUGUUUCAGUACAAGUAAGCACAGAUGAAAAUAAAGACAGCACACAUUUCUUAUUGCUGUUUUCAGCCAAUCAAGAUGGAGAUGUUUUGCAGUGGACGCAAUUUGCAUAUCAUAAAAGGAGGAUUUUUUUUUCUGAUUUCAUACUGAGCAUUUUAAGCAGAAGCUCAUUGCAGAUUUAGGGGAGACUCAGAGUAAAAUAUUUGUUUCAGUGCGUUGCAGCGUGUGGAGGGCAGCGAGAUAUUUCAUUUCAUGUGAGACAAGCUGAUUUGGGGCGGCAAGGUCUCCAUUAAUAAAGCAAUUAGCAAGGGGGGAGAGGGAGGUGAGUGUAAAUUCAGUUGCCCUGAGGUAGUGUAAUGUCAUGCUGGAGGGUGUCAUAAAAGAGUAAUUACUUCAAUCCUGCUUUGAAAUUUUGGGUUAUAAUUACUUUACUUUAGCAUGUGAGGGAGUUGAUUUCUGGACUGUGAAUGGAAGGGAGAGAGUGCUGUGUACAGUCUGGGCUGCAGACGAGAAAGGAAAGAAGGAAUCAGGAGGAUAAUUGCAUGCAGGCAGAGUCCCAGGGGAGGAGUGCAACCCCGUCAUCAAACACUCAUUCUGGCUGGGCCUCAUCCCAUUACAGUCCCCCAGGAGCCAAACUGCACCUGCCCCACAGACUGACAACUACUCAAUCCCCCUUCACUCUCCCCUGCGAUUACACAACCGGAAAAACAACACCAAAAUAUCACAAUGACUAAGCCUUCUCAAAAACAUAAGAAGGUGGAGUUUUCAGGCAAGUGAAUGAUGGGAGAAUUUCCACCUAUGAACCAAAUGUUGACAUCGGAUUUAGUCCAAUUAACGUGCACCCUAACAGGCACGUCACCGGUGCAACAGCCAUGACCACUCUGGCUGGUUAGGCAUGAGAAAACAUGUUCCACGUGGCUGGUGACACAAUUGUGUUUUCUGUCAAAUUAACAUGUGCACCGAGGAGCAGGCAGCAGUGAACGUUAAUGGUUUCCGCUCUCAGCCGGGCAGAUAAUCGGAGGAGAGGCUGAGAUUUAUUGUAAUCGCUGCCACUGCUGCUACUGGAAGUGUUUCAGACAUGGAUCUGCUUCCUGUGAUGGAAGCGUCAGUCAACACAGCACAAGACUACUGUGAACUCAGCAAUGCUACUGCACUGUCCGUCCCCCACCCACACCUGAUUUCAUACCUGUCUAUCACUUCCUCUCAGGUGAGAUGGAAGUUACAGAGUCUUCAUUUGCAAAAGCCUGCAGAGGUUUUUCCUGCACACAUUAUAAUCACCCUGUACAGUCAGAAGCAGCAGACCAGACCUCUGAUGAUUGACUCGCACAUUAGAAAAUGUUUUAUCUGUUUCCCACCUGCAGAGCUGGAGAGGCACGGUUAGAAUCAGGGUGCUUGAUGUAUGCAGUGUCUUUCACACCAUCGAGCCCUUCCUGCUCCAGGGAGGAGCGCCAUGUUUUGCUGAAUUAUUUACCACUUCAGUAAUGGACUGCACUGUGUGGUGUGUUGGACACACUGCAGAGCGGCAGAGAGGUACCACAGAAACAAUUACCAAGCUGCAGUGUCCAAUACUCUCCCCUUGACUCCAGAGACCGCCGUCAUUGAUUUACUAAUGAGAAACAUGGAGAGGAUAGGAGAUGCACGACACUGAUUGGAGAAGAAACGUGACUGUAUGCGUGGAUGUUGUACCGCAGAAGGAGAUGGUUGCCAGACGACUUCUUUCCAGCGGUGGAGCCCAUUUACUCCAGAUCCCAUGGCAGGCCGGCCAGCCUUGAAGAGAUGUACCCUCCUGGAAUCUGAGUAACGAUGUAGCCCCAGAAGAAGGAGCCAUGAAUCAUCCCCACAGUCUCUGGGUCCCAGUUGAAUUUCGCUUUCUUUCAGACACAGAAAAAUAAAAAUAAAGAC